rnacentral:rRNA from 1 species
AUGGGUCUCUUUGCUAUCGCCCACCGGUCAGCGAUCUCCUACGCCGCGCCCCUCCGCGCCUCCGCCUCGGCCGUCGUGUCCGAAGAGCGUCCGUUCUUAUUGACGAUGAACCACCCAUCUCCCCCACUCCGCGCCACGAGAGGCCUUCUCCGCGACGAGACCUCCUGCCACGACACGCUGUGCCAGUUGGCGGCUGGAAUCAUGCAAAGCUCCCCAGGCGACGCGGCCUUCAUCUCAAGUGAUAGGGCCUCCUACCACGACAAGCCACUUGAGAUGGGAGGUGGAAGAUCCCCAAAUGUGCAAAGCUAUCCGGUGACUUCGGGUCGAUGGAGGGCCACUGAGCUAUCUGCACAUGUGGCAUGGCCAAGGAGCUGCUCGUUUGGAAGGAGGCGGCAGUUUUCGUCAACUUCAAGUGGGGCUAAGCUGCCUCUGAUAAUCUGA